rnacentral:tRNA from 1 species
GCUGGCGUAGCUCAGGGGUAGAGCGGCUGCCUUGUAAGCAGCAGGCCGGGGGUUCGAUUCCCUUCGCCAGCUCCA